UCCAUGAUCUCAUCCUGUCCCACGCAUUUAGAUCUGAUGUUGUUGAUUACUUUGUGCAAGUCUGGGGUUAGCAGUUCUCAACUUAGGGAAAGUGUGUACGUUUGCUUUUGAUGUUGUAGGCCACAAGAACCGGUAUCUAGCAUUGCCCCUCCCACUGCUUGGGAGUUUUUUAGGAUCGCAAGAUCUGGAAGGGUGUCACGCCGACGGGGAUCAGAGUAGGCAAAUAGAUAGGACAAGGUCUUCUCGAUCUCGCCUGGCUGGCCCAAUAGGAAAACUCGACCUUAAUCUGCACCUAUAUGCAACGUCGACACGUGCGAAGGUGGCCGUGGCAGGUUUACUCGUGGCCUGAUAGCUGAUGGCCGGUAGCAACGUUGUUCUUCCAUGGUUUUGAUCUCACCCUUUUGAUGCACGAGGCUUUGGCAUCGGUCCGUAAUAAA